ensembl:snoRNA
AAGCAACACUCUGUGGCAGAUGAUGAAAACUGUCUGACACAAUUUGAGCUUUCUAUAGCAAGAAAGUCUAAUGUGUUUUGGUGUUCUCUCCCAUGAGAGAAGCUGUUACAUAGACUUAAACAAU